UACAGAGGUCUCAAGCGUUGUUCGGAUUCAUUGGGCGUAAAGGGCGCGUAGGCGGCUUGAUAAGGUUGCGGUGAAAGCCCGGGGCUCAACCCCGGGUCGGCCGUGGCAACUGUCGAGCUGGAGCACUGUAGAGGCAGGUGGAAUUCCGGGUGUAGCGGUGGAAUGCGUAGAGAUCCGGAAGAACACCGGUGGCGAAGGCGGCCUGCUGGGCAGUGGCUGACGCUGAGGCGCGACAGCGUGGGGAGCAAACAGG
rnacentral:rRNA from 1 species